rnacentral:misc_RNA from 1 species
AAGGAUCAUUGCCACACACGAUCCAAGAUCGACACAUCUCUGUGAACUGUUAAACGUGAUUGUACUGACCUUCAGCUCCUCCGCGAGGAGGGCUCAAGCUGAGGUUGGUGCCUCCUUUUAAACCAAACAAACACAAAGGCUUAUGCAUUGGAACUUAAAUGUUAUGGACAAGUUCGUCUUGACCUUAACGCUAGAUAUAAUUGUAAAACAACUUUUAACAACGGAUAUCUAGGUUCUU